rnacentral:rRNA from 1 species
GUGCAGCAGUCGAGAAACCUCCGCAAUGCGGGAAACCGCGACGGGGUCAGCCGGAGUGCCGAUGCUUGCAUCGGCUGUCGGGGAGCCUAAAAAGCUCUCCAAGCAAGGGCCGGGCAAGGCCGGUGGCAGCCGCCGCGGUAAUACCGGCGGCCCGAGUGGCGGUCACUAUUAUUGGGCUUAAAGCGUCCGUAGCCGGGUUGGUUAGUCUCCCGGGAAAUCUGGCCGCUCAACAGUCAGAAUUCCGGGAGAUACUGCCAGCCUAGGGACCGGGAGAGGCCGAGGGUAUUCCCGGAGUAGGGGUGAAAUCCUAUAAUCCCGGGAGGACCACCUGUGGCGAAGGCGCCCGGCUGGAACGGGUCCGACGGUGAGGGACGAAGGCCAGGGGAGCAAACCGGAUUAGAUACCCCUGUAGUCC